UCUUUCAAGAUAUCGGGACUAUCAGCUAAUCCAUAUCUCUAUACCAUUACAAAGGUAGUAAUACUUUCGGCCCUCUCAGGAGUUCUUUCUGAAAUGCUUGGAUUCAAACUUAAGUUGCACAAGAUCAAAAUCAAGUAAAAAUGUUGGGAAUAAUGGGACUCAACUUCUUUAAACAUCCAGGACGAGGAUACAGGAAGAGUGCAGUUGCAAUGUUUCUUAAAAUAUUGGAGACUGCUCUGACUUAGCAGAAUGCUUAAAGUUUCAGAGUAUGACAUGAACUAGGUUUGUUUUACACUUCAUUUCUUUGUUCGAGAACAAAUGAAAUCAAAAGAAAAGGAAACAAACUUUUAGUUGGUGCUGGAAUAGAAAUGUAGUGAAAGUCCUUUACAUCAGAACUGUCAUUUGCUGGAUUUAUUGUUAUGUAAAAUACAGCAGAUAGAAAUCAGUACACUGUAAUGUGUAGGGUUGUGACUACCAAUUAUGAUAGCAUAGCUGCAUAAAUGAAUUAGUAAGGCAGUUGAUCGUGAUUGACAAUUAUGAUAGCAUGUCUGCAUAAAUAAAUUGGUAAGGCAGUACUACUCUGCACUGGCAUUAUUAUAUUUGAUUAACAUAAUGCUUUUUGUACAUAGAAAUACUGGAACUUGGGCAUGUUGGCACAAUAUAAAUGAGUUAUCUGUGAUAGACCACAGAUUUUUAUAGGUUUUGUUUGAAUAGUGAUUGACAAAUGUGUGCUUCCUUGGUACUGUGUUAACUGGUAACCUUGACUUGUAGAGUUUCAUUUUAUGUUUUAGGGACUAUAGAACAAGAUCUGCAAUGAUGAGAUAUUAUGUGUACAUAUUUUAUUGCAAUAGAGUACUGUAAGUGGCAGCUAAGAGGCAUAUAAUGCCAAGAGAUCUCAAUGUGAUAAUACAUGUUAAAUAGUGUAUCACAGCUUUAAAUAGGCUCAAAAACACCAACCAGGAUUUGUGUAUGCUAUUUUGUUGUUUGUGGAAUGCAUGAAGCUGAAAUCCUAAUUGGUUGUGAGUUUUUCCUUGUGUACAACUAUUGUCAUAUUUGUUAAGAUUAUGAAAUUGUGUGUUCCAAAAGUGAACAUCUUAAGUAUUUAGUGAAAUAUCUGUGUGAUGUUCAGUUGCUUAAAAGUGUUUGUAUCAAACAUUCAGCUAAAUAAAGACAAAUGUAUGAA